CUGAAGAAGACCUCUUCUCCCCCUCCCUCGCUGAGAAGAUGGCGCUCUCCAGGGUGUGCUGGGCUCGAACUGCUCUGUGGGGUUCGGUGGUCACCCCUGGACCUUAUGUCACUCGGAGGCUGCAGCUUGUUCGCUCUGGACUGGCCUGGAGGGCCCCUCGUCUCUUUGAUCCUCCUUGUAGGUCUUCAAAGCUUCACCUUUCUCCAAAAGCAGAUGUGAAGAGCGUAAUCUCUUAUGUGGUGACUAAGACAAAAGCGAUUAAUGGGAAAUACCAUCGUUUUUUGGAUCGUCAUUUCCCCCGCUUCUAUGUCCUGUACACAACCUUCACGAAAGGAUUGCAGAUGUUAUGGGCUGAUGCCAAAAAGGCUAGAAGAAUAAAGAAGGAUAUGUUGAAGGACAAUGUAAAGUUUCAUCAACUUUCUUACCGGGAGAUGGAACAUUUGAGACAGUUCCGUAGAGACGUCACCAAAUGUUUUUUCCUGGGUAUUAUUUCCAUUCCACCCUUUGCCAACUACCUGGUCUUCUUGCUAAUGUACCUGUUUCCCAGGCAACUACUGGUCAAACAUUUCUGGACCCCAAAGCAACAAAUUGAUUUUUUAGAUAUCUAUCAUGCUAUCCGGAAGCAGUCCCACCCAGAAAUCCUUUGUUAUUUAGAAAAAGUUACCCCUCUUAUUUCUGAUACAGGACUCCAGUGGCAUAUGACAGAGCUGUGCACCAAGAUACAGCGUGGUACCCAUCCAGCAAUACAUGAUAUCCUGACUCUGAGAGAGUGUUUCUCUAAACAUCCUCUGGGCAUGAACCACCUCCAUGCUUUGCAAAUAAAAGCCUUGAGUCGAGCCAUGCUUCUCACACCUUACCUGCCUUCUCUCUUAUUGAGACACCGUUUAAAGACUCAUACCACUGUGAUUCACCAGCUGGACAAGGCUUUGGCAAAGCUGGGGAUUAACCAGCUGACUGCUCAGGAAGUGAAAUCGGCUUGUUAUCUUCGUGGCUUGAAUUCUACCUUUAUUGCUGAAGAGAGGUGUCGAACUUGGCUGGCAGAAUGGCUGAAGAUUUCCUGCAGCCUGAAAGAAGCUGAGCUGUCUCUUUUGCUACACAACGUGGUCCUGCUUUCCAUCAAUUACAUUGGGAAACAGCGCUGAGUGAACAUGGAGUGGAUGGCAUUGUCCUGCCGUCACAGUACAGCAGCGUGGGACCAAACAGCACUUGUCAGCAGUCUGUGUGCAGUUAUGUGUGAGGCAGAGGAGCAGGUGCCACAGGCUUCAGUGUGGUACCGUGUGGGAGCUGGAACUGAAGCAAACCCUCUUACCAGAGGUGGUCCGCGGGAGGUGUCAUCGCAACUUCCUUGGAAUUAGCUCAAACUGGAUGCAGUCCCUGUACUGGGCUGUGACUGUGACAUAUUAAGUUCAGAUCCUGGAAAGUGAGCUUUUGCCCCAGUGAAUAACUUAUGGGAACAUUCUAAUGGAAAAGAAAAAAGGAAAUACAAGUGCUUCUUGACCCCUUAGCCAGUGUUUACAGCCUUCACACCCUUGUCUUAAUUUCUGGCCUGUGGAUCUUAAACUCUUUGCUACCUCCACUGUUGCAGCCUUCCAACUGUAACUGACAGUGGCUGCCUUCGGGCCAUGGAUCAAACCUGUAUGGUACUAAUUACUGCCCAGCCAGGAGACCAGGAGAGGUCUGCAUCAAGAUAGUAAGUUGGGUUUAGCUUUUGUCUAUAUAUGUACAUCAGUGACCUGUAGUAACUUAACUGUAAAUGCAUGAAGCAGUUUUUAAACCCAAGUAAAGACUUGUCUGAAAUCA